rnacentral:rRNA from 1 species
AGAUUGAACGCUAGCGGGAUGCCUUACACAUGCAAGUCGAACGGCAGCACGGACUUCGGUCUGGUGGCGAGUGGCGAACGGGUGAGUAAUGUAUCGGAACGUGCCUAGUAGCGGGGGAUAACUACGCGAAAGCGUAGCUAAUACCGCAUACGCCCUACGGGGGAAAGCAGGGGAUCGCAAGACCUUGCACUAUUAGAGCGGCCGAUAUCGGAUUAGCUAGUUGGUGAGGUAACGGCUCACCAAGGCGACGAUCCGUAGCUGGUUUGAGAGGACGACCAGCCACACUGGGACUGAGACACGGCCCAGACUCCUACGGGAGGCAGCAGUGGGGAAUUUUGGACAAUGGGGGAAACCCUGAUCCAGCCAUCCCGCGUGUGCGAUGAAGGCCUUCGGGUUGUAAAGCACUUUUGGCAGGAAAGAAACGUCAUGGGCUAAUACCCCGUGAAACUGACGGUACCUGCAGAAUAAGCACCGGCUAACUACGUGCCAGCAGCCGCGGUAAUACGUAGGGUGCAAGCGUUAAUCGGAAUUACUGGGCGUAAAGCGUGCGCAGGCGGUUCGGAAAGAAAGAUGUGAAAUCCCAGAGCUCAACUUUGGAACUGCAUUUUUAACUACCGGGCUAGAGUGUGUCAGAGGGAGGUGGAAUUCCGCGUGUAGCAGUGAAAUGCGUAGAUAUGCGGAGGAACACCGAUGGCGAAGGCAGCCUCCUGGGAUAACACUGACGCUCAUGCACGAAAGCGUGGGGAGCAAACAGG